AUUGAACGCUGGCGGCAGGCCUAACACAUGCAAGUCGAGCGGGGGUAGCAAUACCCUAGCGGCGAACGGGUGAGGAAUGCUUGGGGAUCUGCCUCGUAGUGGGGGAUAACGUUCCGAAAGGAACGCUAAUACCGCAUACGUCCUACGGGAGAAAGGGGGGGAUCUUCGGACCUCUCGCUAUGAGAUGAGCCCAAGCGGGAUUAGCUAGUUGGUGAGGUAAAGGCUCACCAAGGCGACGAUCCCUAGCUGGUCUGAGAGGAUGAUCAGCCACACUGGAACUGAGACACGGUCCAGACUCCUACGGGAGGCAGCAGUGGGGAAUAUUGGACAAUGGGCGAAAGCCUGAUCCAGCCAUGCCGCGUGUGUGAAGAAGGCCUUCGGGUUGUAAAGCACUUUAAGCGAGGAGGAAGGUUCGUUACUUAAUACGUAACGGAAUUGACGUUACUCGCAGAAUAAGCACCGGCUAACUCUGUGCCAGCCGCCGCAGUAAGAC
rnacentral:rRNA from 1 species